rnacentral:rRNA from 1 species
CCUACGGGUGGCAGCAGUGAGGAAUAUUGGUCAAUGGGCGCGAGCCUGAACCAGCCAAGUAGCGUGAGGGAUGACUGCCCUAUGGGUUGUAAACCUCUUUUAUAAAGGAAGAAAGUGAGCCACGUGUGCCUUGUUGUAUGUACUUUAUGAAUAAGGAUCGGCUAACUCCGUGCCAGCAGCCGCGGUAAUACGGAGGAUGCGAGCGUUAUCCGGAUUUAUUGGGUUUAAAGGGUGCGUAGGCGGGCAUUUAAGCUGGUGGUAAAAUGUCGGGGCUUAACCCCGGCCUGCCGUUGGUACUGGGUGACUCGAGUGGGCGCGAAGUAGGCGGAAUGAGUGGUGUAGCGGUGAAAUGCAUAGAUAUCACGCAGAACCCCGAUGGCGAAGGCAGCAUACCGGCGCCCGACUGACGCUGAGGCACGAAAGUGCGGGUAUCGAACAGGAUUAGAUACCCGAGUAGUC